GCCUCCCUCCGACCGAAGUUCUCUUUCACUUCCCAGGGGCUGGGUGAGCUGUCCGGGAAGCGAGUGCCGCCUCCUCGCCCCACCGUGAGAAUCUGCCUAUCUGGGAAGACGGGUCUCUCCAAGCGUCCCCGGAGCAAACCCAGAGGCAUUCAACAUUCUCAGCUCAGUUCAGCCCAGGGAAGCUGGCGUGGGGCCAGAUCAGUAUGAGAUGGGACCAGCUGUACUGUUAGUAAACGGUAUCUGCGUGACCACCAACGCGAGGCACUCACCUCUCCCGGUGCAUUUCUUCCCUGCAAAAUAUGACCCCCAUUUCAGACUUUCUGAGACGAUUAAACGAGAAGAUGCUGUUUUCCUUGCUAAGCGGCUUUUCAGUGCUGAAGGAAUACAGGUGCCAAGUCAGUCCUGACUCAUGGAAAACUCACAUCUAUCAGAGAGAAAGGUCGCCCCGGCCUGCUUCCUCCUCAGGCCACUGCGAUUGGUCUUUCCUAGUUGACAUGUCCAAAGGAUGCGAAGCUCAGUCGUGCCAUCUGACUUCUAAGAAGCAUUCUGGUUGGAGUUCUCCUAAGAUGGACCUGUUCAUUUCUCUGACAGCCCAUGAUACAUUCAGUGUUCUUCACCAAUGCCGCAGCGAGAACGUGGGGGUCCGUUCUUCUGUCUUCCUCUCUCCUGGGCCAGCCUCUGCAUGUACAUGGUGGCAUGCAAAAGGCCACGGAUUCGAUCAGCCGCACUUCUGAUGAAAGGGACUUUUGCCCGGUGGUAUUUGCCCAGUGCAGUACCUCGUUUGAUUUCUUGACUGUGGCUUCCGUGGACAUUGAAUGCUGAUCCGAGUAGAA